CCCAAGGAUACUGAAGACCAGCUCAUCAAGUUGGCAACAGGAAAGAUCAACAGUAAAAACCAGUACUAAUCUCCAUAGCAGAGGAGUGGUGACUAACAGCAUAAAUCUGUAACUUAGCAAACUCACUUAGAAAAACUGAACGUGAAUGAUCACAGCUCUUAUACACUGCUGUUUUUACCUGGUUUUUGAAGACCAAGUCAUCAAGAGAGACCUAGGUCAGGGACAAAAGACUUUGUUGCUAACAACAGCAAAGAGCUGGAGCAUUUGCAUAUUUGGUGUCCUAUCUCCUCACUCUUCCUGGGUCACCAGGUGAUACCUGCAUGUGCAAUAAGCUGUGUUGCAGCAUAGAAAUCCUGCACUUAGGCAACCUGAAGAUUUCAUACAGGACAAGAAGCAUGUGGGCCCAUUGUUUGAGAGAGAGACUCUAUCUUCCAUGACUGUUCACUACAAACAUCCCCCAUGACUGCUCACUAUGCAAAUAUCCUUGCAAAGGUAGUUUGGAACAAAAGCAGUUGAUGAGUCUACUCGCAAGACAUGCAGAAACGUGAGAGACAACAAUAUACUCCACUGAUUUUAAGAAAGAAGACCCUGGCUCCAUCUUGAAAACGGAAGAAAUAAAAACGGCAGACCUAUGAAGGUCAAAGGGGAAGAUAAGAAAAGCUGUAUCGAUUGUUGAGAUCUGGCGACUUGUUUAAAUUUCAUCAGACUCACUUCUAUGAACUCUCAGUUUUGCAAUGGAGUUGCCAGAAUUGCUAAAGAUACACCAUUCAGUUCUCAUCCCAUUUUGCAUAGCUUGGAAUCUAUGGUCCUGCAAAUAUCUUUGAGCUGCAUUUUGAUCAAGCAUAUUCACAGAUGGGAUGAAGAGAAUGAUUCAGCUGCUUCUCAGAAUCCCUACCUCAUUGGCAAGGACUUUUCAACUGUGGCUGCGCCUAGGACAAUUUUAGCAAAAACCAUGUGGGAAAAAUGUAGGAAAUUGUUAGUGCCCAAUAUACAGACGAUAGCAAUACAAGGUGCAAUCUAAAAAGGAAGAUAAUUAACAGCCAUAUGGGUAACUUCAGUUCAUAUUUUUGCAAAGAACUUUGGGAAUAUUGACUCAUGGAAAUGGAGCCUAUGUAAGACACAAAUGAUAAUUUUGAACCUCUGCCAGCAAGUAUGUCAACUACCUGUCCAAGAAAAUAAAGAACUAUUGUUGCUCCAGCUCAAGUCUUUGCAUUCAUUUGUAUUUCUUUUUUGAUGGCACAAAUAUAAAUAAUACCAUUUAAAAAUAUCAGAGUUGCACUUUGGGAGGCCGAGGUGGGCGGAUCACGAGGUCCGGAAAUCGAGACCCCGGUGAAACCCCCUCUCUACUAAAAGUACAAAAAAUUAGCCGGGCGAGGUGGCGGCGCCUGUAGUCCCAGCUACUCAGGAGGCUGAGGCAGGAAAAUGGCGUGAACCCGGGAGGCGGAGCUUGCAGUGAGCCGAGAUUGCGUCACUGCACUCCAGCCUGGGCGACAGAGCGAGACUCCGCCUCAAAAAAAAACAACCAAAAAACAAAAAACAAAAAUAUCAGAGUUGUUUCCAAUUUGGACUAAGGAGAGUUUAGAUUCUUAGCCUGGGGAGCUAUGGGCAAUAAACAAACAAACACUCCUCUGAACCUGGGCAUCCUCAUCUUUAAAUGGGUGACAGGGACGACUCUUCAGUCUACCUCACGAUCUCCUUAUCAGAAUAAAAGGAGAUAAUGUAGGAAAAAAUGACUUUAAAAUAAUAUAUCCCAGUUAAAUGUUAGUUAUAAUUAUAGAAUUAUGUUUUUCUAGUAUUUGAGGGGGUACUUUCUAUUUAUUGAUAUAUUUCUCAUAAAAAUGUCAAAUGUUAAAAAAUGCUCAAAAGCAUAUUAUGUAAUGAUUGGUACCUAGUAGACAUUCAUAAAUAUAUUCUUUCUUAAUUUAUUGGAUCAGACAGCUUCAUGUGUAUUUCAUUCUAGAAAGAAAAUUAUCAAGAUUUGUCUCGUAUUUUUCCUCAUCCGCACUUCAACUCUGGCUGGGGUUUUCAAAUGCUCUAUCUAUAGAUAUUCUCUUAUUUUGUACUCAUCUAUUUUAGGGGAGAAAAGAGACCUUGUUUAUUCCUAAUAAUACAAGUUUUACUGCAUAAAAUAUAUCCCAGUUACUGUCUUUACCGUUUUAAACAUUUUCCCAGGGAAAAAUUUUUCAUCGUGUAUUAAACUAGAUGUCUAACUGGAUUGAUUCUCACCCUGAAGUCACUGAAAUAACACUUUAAUGCCACUUUCAAAAUAUAAAUUUUGAUGUGGUUUUCAAAGGUGAAAUGAAUAAAAAUUUUGAAGCUAAAAAUAAAUAAAAGAAUGUGACAAUCAUCUUACCACCAAAAAUACAGACACACACAGUCCCAUUUGCUCUUUUCUAAUUUAAAUAAUUAGAAAAGACAUCAACAAUAUUUUUUUUGUCAGGUUUUAUUGUGCAGAUGACAAUUAUCAGACUCUUUUGGAAUGGCCAUUUAAGGCCUUCUGAUAUAUCUCUUUAAAUUUGCUGUAAGUGCUCCCAGUCGUAUUUGAUUUCUUUAAUUUUACAGGAUCAGGGAAACAGACCUUUUUCUAUUGUGACAAAGAGAGAACCCAGGAAAGGGGCAGUGUUUUUCCCCUCACAGGUGAUGGAGUUUGUAUAAAGAAUGCAGCGGAUAAUGGCAGGCUUGUCCUCUGAACAGAUGGUGAUGGUCUUGUUGCUAGGAUGAGGCCUCAAGAAUUUAGUUUUUAAUUCCACAUUAUUUGCCUCAGUGCCAUGAAUAUCCCUAGGUUUCCUGAGGCAAAAAUACAGAAAAAAAAAUCCACAGAAAGAGUGACACACAGAGAGAGAAAGAGCAAGAGAUGGGGCAACUGAGCAGAGACUGGAGCCCGGUCAAGAGAGGCUUUGGGGAAAAUGCCUGCUCAGCUGUCUGCAAUCACCUGGGUUUAAAGCAGGCAGGAAGGAAGAUUGGUUUGGCAGGAGAACUGGCCCUUUGAUGCCUUUGAUACCACAGAGAAAAAUUCCCAUUUCUUCCCAUUAGAAGUCUGUUUACUUUCCUAAUUAAGAUAAACAUGUUUCUGAAGGAGUUAGCUCUUAUAGCAUGACAUUUAUAAAAACAACUAUAUAUACACACAAGAACGUUUGUCAGAAAUUUGGGCUGAUGGUGAUUGUAUGAAGCAUUUUAUAGAAAUAUUUUUAAAUACUUGCCUUAUUUAAAAGUGAGCGACUUUCAUUCCCUCCAGUCAAUUAAAUAUCUAAUUUCAACUCUUGGAGAUAAUAACUGAAGUAGUUUUUUUAAUAAAUGAAUGAACAGUUAGAAAACUGUUAAACACAUAGCCCCGAAGCAUGAAAAAUAUAUUCGUUGAACAGCUUUAUUCUUUUAUUGUUAAUUUACUUCAGAGAAUAUCCACUCGUAUAAUUUUCAAUAAAUUACUCUUAUUUUGAAGUCUCCUUUAUUGAAUAUAAGACUGAUGUAUGUGAUUAUAGGCCAGUAGUCUAAAGAAGCUAGAGAUUCUGAACACUCAAGGGUGAAUGAGGGUGUAACUAGGUAUCAGAACAGGAUUACCUGCCAGAAUUGUCAGACCACCUGCCUGAAUUAGUCACUUCUGUCAAAUAAUUAUGUUCCAUGCCACCCCUCCAACACACACACUGUAACUGACAUUAAUCACUUGUCUCAGAAUUAUCUGAAUGCAACUUUAAUAAUUCAAUAAUUGACCAUCUGACUUUUUUGGCAUAAUGUGACUGAUGGCAUUGUACACAAGUCUCCCACUUAAGCUGUGUCUCACUGUAAAAUGUUCACGUGUGUUUGCCGAGUCCUACACUAUGGUUCAGGCGAAGAUCAGGUACCUGCUAGUGAUGAGAAAUCUAGCCCUCACUCAAAGUGGUUAUUAGUAAUUCACAGUGGAGAGCUGUCACUGAAGCCUGUAUUAUUUAGCCUAGAAGCAUAAAUCACAUACUAUUACUGUGUUUCAAAAGCUGUCAAUCACACUGAGGUUUUAUAUUAGUUGGUUUAGAGGGAAAUGAUGCCACAGGUUUUCAUGCCUCCACGUCUCCUCUAACCGUGUAUGGAUAACUCUCCACAAUUCUUCCUCCUCUGACUAACUGUCCAGUGUGUUAGGGGUCCUUCUUGCAAAAUGACCCAACGUGUGUUUUUUAAAUACCUACUCUCAUCAAAAUUACCUGUUUGCUAUUAUAUACACCUUGGGCUUUUAAGAAAAUGAUUUGUAUGGUCUGAUUGUUUAAUUCCAGGUAAGGUGCUAAUAACUUAUUAAUGGCUUCCUAGAUAACACGUUUACUUUUUGGUAAAGAUUUUUAGUGAUGUGAAAAAAAAAAUGACUAGUGAUUAGAAUUCUAAAUGCUACAAGAAAAAUGAUAAUACAGAUAUGGAGAAUGUCAUGGGGAAUGGGACAGAUAUUUUUGGCAAGGAUGCUCUCCAGUGUUUCUCAAUGCACAUCUACUAAAUAUCUAUUAAAUAGCUGACCAGCCCUGUUUUAGAGAAUAUUUGGCAUAUUCAACUCUAUAUGUGUCUGGAGAUGUGACAGACGCUAUAAUCUGGCUCUUUAUUUCUACUGAAACAUGCUAUAAAAUGUGUCCUCCAAAAAAGUAGUCUUCAUUUAUAAGCAAUUGUUUUAAAAAUGCCCAAUUACUAAGCUAUUCAUUUAGCCAAAUUUAUUUAAAACAUUAUUUCCAAACUUAAUUUGCAAGGAUAUGCAGUCAUAUUUUAUCUUAAAUUAAUUCAAGCUUUCUACCACAAACACUGGAUAAACAUUUUGCAUUCAUCAAAAAAAUGCAUGCAUGAGUUUUACCUAAUUGUGCAAGUCACAAGUGAUUUUGAGAUAUUCCUCUGCUUUUUGGUAUUGUUUCCAACUUUAAUAAAUUGAGAAGCAAAGACAUUGAUAUAUAAUUUUA
ensembl:lncRNA